rnacentral:hammerhead_ribozyme from 1 species
AUCCAGCUUGACGAGUCUCAAAUAGGACGAAACGCGCGUCCUGGAU